rnacentral:rRNA from 1 species
UCGAGGGGCAGCACGAUGUAGCAAUACAUGGGUGGCGACCGGCGCACGGGUGCGUAACACGUAUGGAACUUGCCCUUUACUGGGGGAUAGCCCGGAGAAAUCCGGAUUAAUACCCCAUAACAAGCGGAGUGGCAUCACUCUGCUUUGAAAGCUCCGGCGGUAAAGGAUGGCCAUGCGCCCGAUUAGCUAGUUGGUGAGGUAACGGCUCACCAAGGCUAUGAUCGGUAGGGGGCCUGAGAGGGUUAUCCCCCACACUGGUACUGAGACACGGACCAGACUCCUACGGGAGGCAGCAGUGAGGAAUAUUGCGCAAUGGAGGCAACUCUGACGCAGCCAUGCCGCGUGCAGGAAGAAGGCGCUACGCGUUGUAAACUGCUUUUAUCCGGGAAGAAACCCCUCGACGUGUCGAGGGUUGACGGUACCGGAGGAAUAAGCACCGGCUAACUUCGUGCCAGCAGCCGCGGUAAUACGAAGGGUGCAAGCGUUAUCCGGAUUCAUUGGGUUUAAAGGGUGCGUAGGCGGAGCGUUAAGUCAGUGGUGAAAUCCUGCAGCUCAACUGUAGACUUGCCAUUGAUACUGGCGCUCUUGAGUGCGCUUGAAGUAGGCGGAAUGUGCCGUGUAGCGGUGAAAUGCUUAGAUAUGGCACAGAACACCAAUUGCGAAGGCAGCUUACUAAGGCGAUACUGACGCUGAGGCACGAAAGCGUGGGGAUCGAACAGGAUUAGAUACCCUGGUAGUCCACGCCGUAAACGAUGAUCACUCGUCAUUGGCGAUACACUGUCAGUGACCUAGCGAAAGCGUUAAGUGAUCCACCUGGGGAGUACGAUCGCAAGAUUGAAACUCAAAGGAAUUGACGGGGGCCCGCACAAGCGGUGGAGCAUGUGGUUUAAUUCGAUGAUACGCGAGGAACCUUACCAGGGCUCGAACGCACGUAGACAGUCGCGGAAACGUGAUCUUCUUCGGACUGCGUGCGGGUGCUGCAUGGCUGUCGUCAGCUCG